GUCAGCACCACCCUUACAAGAGGAGGUUGGAGGACCUGUUAGAAACCACGUGGUACUUGUAAGAUCUUAUAACUUGCCAUUGUUCUGCAUCAGCCUAACAGAACACCACUUCUCUCCAGGUUCAGGAGAGAAACCAUCACUGCACACGAUGCUUUUCCUCCCAGCUGCUGCUCUGUGCUGUCUGUGUUCAGUGAUUACUGUGGCUGAAGAGCUGAUACAGAAUGAUUUAACUCUGACCAGGAGAGCUGGAGAAAGUGUCUCCUUCAGCUGUGGGGGAACUGACCAGUGCAGCAGUACUGUUGUAUACUGGUACCAGAAGAAAGACACAAGAGAAUUAUUCAGAAUGCUUCUUUCUAUUGACAUAAGCAGCGGUGCAAUAAAUUGAGGCUAUAACCACCCUCAGCAAAAUGAUUUCUCAGCAGUGAAUAAUCAGGGCAGCUGGGCUUUGGAGCUAAAAACAGUUAAAGACGUUCAUUCAGCCAUCUACUACUGCUCUUGUUACAAAAGUACUCACAGUGUGAAAUCAUCCCUGCAGGCUGAACAAAAACCAUCAGAGGAAAAGCAAGAAACCACAGCUCCAUCUCAGUCUGAGAGACAACAGUUAGAGAAAUUUUCAGUACUUUAAAUCAUAAAUCGAAAUGUUCAUACCGUCAAAGGGUAAAAUUAAUACUUGUAAUUAAAGUUGACAGCUAACUGGGAGUACUGGGAGUACACAAUAAAGGUGGAUAAGAAAGAAAAAAUGUCACAGACCAGUUGUAUGGGAGGUUUUUCCUCCUGAACGUUAAAAGUUGAUAUGUAUCAUAUCAUGGAUUUGUAUGUUGAUGAUACUAUUGUUUCCACACAUGGUCAAAAAUAUUUCAGACUACAUCAAGUCCAUUUAUGUUCCUCAGUCUGUGUCUGUGGGAACAAAUAUUUUUAGUUUUGAAGUCAUCAUAGUUUUAAGACAUUUUGUUGACUGACUUCAUAGAAAGUGAAGAAAAGAUACGACUGAAAUAAUAAAUAAAUUCCACUCUAUAUUUGAAGGUUAAUGUUUUGCAAACCUCAGUCUCAGUGGAAAACUGCAACACACGCCUCAGCUGUCACUCAGCAGCAGCACUGACAGCUGCAGCAGUUAAUGGGAGGUUUUAGGAGUUGUUAGAAACAUGUGGUCCUCGUCUGAUCAUAUAAACUGUCCUUGUUUGGCCUCGUUUCUAUCAAAGAAUCACUUCUCCUCAGAUUCACCAGAGGAAACGUCACUGAACACAACGGUUCACACAAUGCUUUUCCUCCCAGCUGCUGCUCUGUGUUGUCUGUGUUUAGCGCUGGUUACCAUGGCUGCAGAGCUGAUGCAGAAAGAUUUAACUUUGACUGCGACACCUGGCAAAAAAGUCUCCUUCAGCUGUGGAACUGCCCAGUGCAGUGGCAGCUAUGUGCACUGGUACCAGAAGAAAGACAAUGAUAAGUUCAGAGUGAUUCUUCAUAUUAACAUACGCACUGGUGAAGUCAACAGUGACUACAACCAUGCUCAGAAAAAAGAUUUCUCAGCUGUGAAAAACGAGAACAGCUGUGAGUUGGAGAUAAAUGCAGUUAGCCUCGUUCAUUCAGCCAUCUACUACUGCUGCUGUGCUCAAAGCUCUCACAGUGACAUAAAGAUCCCUGCAGACUGAACAAAAACCAUCAAAGGAACAGCAGCAGACCACAGACCAGGUUCACACACACACUGACGCAGGCAUCACCUUUAAAACCAUAACAACUAGUUUGUAUUCUAUUUAUAUAAGAAGUAAAAAUAAUCAAGACCAAAAUAAAUUCAAUAAGAGCCAAAAGAUGACAAAAUUGGGAGUAUCAGAUUAAAGUGCCAUGUGUUCACAUUCAGGUCAAAAACAGCAGACUGUAAAAAUCCACAAAUAUUAGCUUCUUCUGACAAACAUCAAACAGAAGUGUCUAUAUUUUGUUGGGAAGCAAUAUUCCUCUACAAGAACAGCUGGUGAUCAGCAACUGAGGGAAAACUAAACACCACAAACAGUGAUCACAGCUCCAGAAACCACAAAGCAUCUGGUUUUGAAAAAAAAGAAGAAGAAAUGAAUGAAAAACAACAGUUUGAAUCCAGGAUUCUCAAAGUAUAGCCAACUGGCCAAACACACCCUUUAGUAACAUUAUAGUUGUGACUGUCAUCCUCACGAAUGUCAACCAACGCUAAAAGUUACAUCACAUCCGCGAGUUCAAGCUGUGCUUUGGUGUCUUUUUGGUGGCUUUGAUUGUCCAACUCUUAUUUCUGUAACCUUGCACAUCUGCACAGAGCAUACAGGUUGGUUUCUUUUCCUUUACAGUCAUUGCUGUCAUGUGCUGGUUCUCUACAUUUCCAUGAGGACUCAUCAUAAUAAUUAUGCUUAGAUUUGCAGGCAGUUAAACUACAAAACAUGCAGCAAGUUUCUAUUUUGUCUGUGGAGUUAAUUUUUUGUGUGUCUGCUGAUUUUUAUAAUCUUGAACAAACAGAAGAAACCAUUUAGCUGGACAGAUAUUUGUUCUUAGAAACCAGAGGACGACCAAAGUGCAUACUGAUAUUGUAACACUUGUUGGCUGUUACUAGGUCCCAAAACACACUCAGAUGCGUUAGCCGGUGCAGUUAAAUUGAAUUAUUUGCACAGUUUUAUCUUUGCAGACCGUUCAUUGAUUCCAGACAAUCGCUGUCAGCUGUGUCCACCAGGCUCUCCUGACACUGUCCCUGAACCCACUGCAACACCCCUCCUGUGCAGCUGAGCCACAGACUACACCCUGCCACAGCAAAUGAAUCCUGUUACAGUGCUACUCCAUCAAAACAUUGUUGAGAAGUUUAAUUCUGGAGGAAAACUGCCAACCUGCUGUUUGGACAAGAAGAAACUUGUGAAACAAAGGUCAGCUCAGGUAGCUCAUCAUCUGGAGGCAGAAGUUAUGCAGAAUAUUCAGCUUCAUGCAGUUUUUACAACAUUAAUUCAUCUCAACUAAAGCAGAAAGAGGAGGUUGAUGUGUGAACAUCAAAGAACCAAAUCAUGGAGCUGAAAUAGACUAAUCAGACCUUACAAUAUGACCACGACAGGUGACAAGAUUAUCUCUUUUUCACAGCACCUGUUAGUGGGUAGGAUGUAUUAAGGAGCAAGUAAUCAUUUUCUCCUCAAAGUUGGUGUGUUAGAAACAGAAAAACUGGCAAGUGUAAGGAUUUGAGCAGGUUUGACAAAAUAUUGAUGGCUACACGACUCGGUCUAGACAACCCGGCUUCUGCAAAAAUGCAGCGUUUGUGGGGUGUUGCUGCGGUGGUCACUAUGCAUUAAAAGUGGUCCAAAGAAGAAACAGUGACCAGUAACUGAGCAUCUGUGGGAUCUACAGGACAAACAAGUGUGAUCCAUGGAGGUCCUUCCUCACAACUUACAGGACUUCAAGGAUCUGUUGCUAACAUCUCAGUGCCAGAUAUCACAGCACAUCUUCAGGGGUCGAGUGGAAUCCAUGCCUCAGGACUGUUUUGGCAGCAAAAGAGGGACCAACACAAAAUCAGGCAGAGUCAUAAUGUUACAUCUGAUCGGUGUAUGACACUGCUUUACUUCAGCUGCCACAUUCACCAUCAGACAGGUUUUUGUACUGGUCUGUGUCACUGUGUGAGGGGACAGGAUCUUUGGCUCUGGAGUUAAACUGUACGUAACAGAUAUGCCGGUACUGAAGCCCUCGGUGACAGUGUACCAAGCAGCAUCCAGUGAUCAUCUGGAGGAGAAGAGAUCCCUGCUGUGUGUGGCCUCACAAAUGGUUCCUCCUGUGGUCCAGA